rnacentral:miRNA from 15 species
CGGGAACUUCGAGACUGGAGC